rnacentral:lncRNA from 1 species
GGUACCAUUUCUAGAUGGCCACUUCGAUUGGUACAGAAAUUUAUUUCUAUACUAUCAACUUAAGUUUGGACUUAUGAGGUCACACACAUUAGAGUUCAUGAUCCAAUCGGAUGGUUGAUCAAUGAUUAAGAAUUGUUCUAGGGUUAAAUGAUCAAUAUGAUUGACAUUUAACCUAGUGCAAGUGUUGCAAGAGGAUCGAUUAGCAAUUUGAUUGCUAAUUGGCUUAAUUUGAUUAAGCCAAUGGGCUGAGAUUAAGUCUAAUUGAAUAUAAUUUAAUUAGAUUUAGUUUGGACUUGAUUGG